CUUUCCUAUAAUAAAUGCCAUGAAAGGAAUGAGAUUCCAGGAAUGAGUAACUGAUGAGGGAGAAAGGGACUUUGCACAGGAAUUUUAAGGGAAGAUGUCUCUAAAAAUGAAAAGGAGGAAAGGAACCAAUCGACAGAAACACCGCGGGAAGAUCGCUCCAGGCAGAGAAAUAGCAGUGCAAAAUCCAAAAGGCAAGAAAGAGCUUGAUAUGCUCAAGAAACAAGAAAGUGGCCUGUGUGACCACAGCGCGGCCACUCCGGCUUCUCGGUAGAAAAUGGAUUUCAAGGUGUCGGCACGGAAACAGAGAAGACUGGCUCGUCAUCACUGCAGCCCAGGCAAGAGGCGACAGUGCUCCACCCAGCACUGUAGCCAUGGACACGAAGAGAAGUGACAGGACCUGCUGGGAUUGGCUCAGAGCUGAGCACAUGACCCAGGCCUGGCCAAUCAACACAUGGUACCCCUCUCCAACCACUAGGGGCCACCAAGAACAGCAAAUCAGAUCUCAUUGACCUGGCUUUUGUUACGUGCCCGCCACUGAAUUAAUCACUACGACCAGGAACAUGUGAAUCUUGCCUAGGCAGACCAGUUCUGUGGCUGUUCAUGGAGCCAGGAGAGAGAUCAGUCCAACCUGAACAGAGUGGCAAGGAAGUUGUUUUCCUGACUCAUAGGUUCAUGCUCUAUUUGUCUUGUAAAUGUUUAACCAUCACAAACACUUUGUCAAAACAGACAAUAAAAUCAGCCUUUGACUUUCCUCUC